rnacentral:rRNA from 1 species
UACGAAGGGGGCUAGCGUUGCUCGGAAUCACCGGGCGUAAAGCGCACGUAGGCGGAUUCUUAAGUCAGGGGUGAAAUCCUGGAGCUCAACUCCAGAACUGCCUUUGAUACUGGGAAUCUCGAGUCCGGGAGAGGUGAGUGGAACUGCGAGUGUAGAGGUGAAAUUCGUAGAUAUUCGCAAGAACACCAGUGGCGAAGGCGGCUCACUGGCCCGGUACUGACGCUGAGGUGCGAAAGCGUGGGGAGCGAACAGG